rnacentral:piRNA from 1 species
UACAUUUUCUCAGUGUGCAAAAGGAUAUGU